rnacentral:rRNA from 1 species
GACGAACGCUGGCGGCGUGCCUAAUACAUGCAAGUAGAACGCUGAAGAGAGGAGCUUGCUCUUCUUGGAUGAGUUGCGAACGGGUGAGUAACGCGUAGGUAACCUGCCUUGUAGCGGGGGAUAACUAUUGGAAACGAUAGCUAAUACCGCAUAACAAUGGAUGACACAUGUCAUUUAUUUGAAGGGGGCAAUUGCUCCACUACAAGAUGGACCUGCGUUGUAUUAGCUAGUAGGUGAGGUAACGGCUCACCUAGGCGACGAUACAUAGCCGACCUGAGAGGGUGAUCGGCCACACUGGGACUGAGACACGGCCCAGACUCCUACGGGAGGCAGCAGUAGGGAAUCUUCGGCAAUGGGGGCAACCCUGACCGAGCAACGCCGCGUGAGUGAAGAAGGUUUUCGGAUCGUAAAGCUCUGUUGUAAGUCAAGAACGAGUGUGAGAGUGGAAAGUUUACACUGUGACGGUAGCUUACCAGAAAGGGACGGCUAACUACGUG